GCUGAACAACACCUCACCAGCAGCAGACUAAUUACACUUCUGGUGAAGAGAGGAGGUGAAGAGACUUCUGGUGAAGAGAGGAAGUGAAGAGACUUCUGGUGGAGAGAGGAGGUGAGGGGGCUUCUGGUGGAGGGAGGAGGUGAGGAGACUUCUGGUGGAGGGAGGAGGUAGAAAGGGGGUGAAGAGACUUCUGGUGGAGGGAGGAGGUGAAGAGACUUCUGGUGGAGGGAGGAGGUAAGGAGACUUCUGGUGGAGGUGAGGAGACUUCUGGUGGAGAAAGGGGGCGAAGAGACUUCUGGUGGAGAGAGAGGGGGCGAAGAGACUUCUGGUGGAGGGAGGAGGUGAGGAGACUUCUGGUGGAGGUGAGGAGACUUCUGGUGAAGAGAGGUGAAGUGACUUCUGGUGGAGAGAGGGGGUGAAGAGACUUCUGGUGGAGAGAGGAGGCGAAGAGACUUCUGGUGGAGGGAGGAGGCAAAGAGACUUCUGGUGGAGGGAAGAGGUGAGGAGACUUCUGGUGGAGGGAGGAGGUGAGAAGACUUCUGGUGGAGAGAGGGGGCGAAGAGACUUCUGGUGGAGAGAGGGGGCGAAGAGACUUCUGGUGGAGAGAGGGGGCGAAGAGACUUCUGGUGGAGAGAGGGGGCGAAGAGACUUCUGGUGGAGGGAGGAGGCGAAGAGACUUCUGGUGGAGGGAGGAGGCGAAGAGACUUCUGGUGGAGGGAGGAGGCGAAGAGACUUCUGGUGGAGGGAAGAGGCGAGGAGACUUCUGGUGGAGGGAGGAGGUGAGAAGACUUCUGGUGGAGGUGAGGAGACUUCUGGUGGAGGUGAGGAGACUUCUGGUGGAGAGAGGGGGUGAAGAGACUUCUGGUGGAGAGAGGGGGCGAAGAGACUUCUGGUGGAGAGAGGGGGCGAAGAGACUUCUGGUGGAGGGAGGAGGCGAGAAGACUUCUGGUGGAGGGAGGAGGCGAAGAGACUUCUGGUGGAGGGAGGAGGUGAGAAGACUUCUGGUGGAGGUGAGGAGACUUCUGGUGGAGGUGAGGAGGUGAGGAGACUUCUGGUGGAGAGAGGGGGUGAAGAGACUUCUGGUGGAGGGAGGAGGUGAGGAGACUUCUGGUGGAGGUGAGGAGACUUCUGGUGGAGGUGAGGAGACUUCUGGUGAAGAGAGGAGGUGAAGUGACUUCUGGUGGAGAGAGGAGGCGAAGAGACUUCUGGUGGAGGGAGGAGGCGAAGAGACUUCUGGUGGAGGGAGGAGGCGAAGAGACUUCUGGUGGAGGGAGGAGGCGAAGAGACUUCUGGUGGAGGGAGGAGGCGAGGAGACUUCUGGAGGAGGUGAGGAGACUUCUGGUGGAGGGAGGAGGUGAGAAGACUUCUGGUGUAGAGAGCAGGUGAGGAGACUACUGGUGUAGAGAGGGGGUGAGGAGACAUCUGGUGUAGAGAGGGGGUGAGGAGACUUCUGGUGUAGAGAGGGGGUGAGGAGACUUCUGGUGUAGAGAGGGGGUGAGGAGACUUCUGCUUCAUUAGAAAUUACGAGGUGAGGUGAUGGCUGGAAUUUCAAACAAGACACUCACCAAGCCAGGCUGUGAACGGCACAACUCACCCAGUGGUCAGCCACCCGUGUCCUCAGAGGGCUGCGACUAUGAGCCUGAGUGGUUCCUGUUAAUCU
rnacentral:lncRNA from 1 species